GCGCGGUUAGCUCAGUUGGUAGAGCGCCACAUUGACGUUGUGGAUGUCAGAGGUUCGAAUCCUCUAUCGCGCA
rfam:Parcubacteria bacterium GW2011_GWB1_38_8 TT07_C0006, whole genome shotgun sequence.